UGUGGUUUAAUUCGACGCUACGCGUAAGAACCUUACCUGGGCUUGAACUGCUGGUGGUAGAAGCCCGAAAGGGUAACGACCCGGAGCAAUCCGGGAGCCAGUAGAGGUGCUGCAUGGCUGUCGUCAGCCCGUGCCGUGAGGUGUUGGGUUAAGUCCCGCAACGAGCGCAACCCUCGCCAGAUGUUGCCAUCAGUUCGGCUGGGCACUCUUCUGGGACUGCCUGAGUAAUCAGGAGGAAGGAGAGGAUGACGUCAAAUCUGCAUGCCUCUUACGCCCUGGGCUGCACGCGUGCUACAAUGGCGAGUACAAAGGGUAGCUAAGCCGCGAGGUGGAGCCAAUCCCCCAAAACUCGUCCCAGUUCGGAUCGGAUGUCUGCAACUCGACUCCGUGAAGGUGGAAUCGCUAGUAACCGUGGAUCAGCAACGCCACGGUCGAAUACGUUCCCGGGCCUU
rnacentral:rRNA from 1 species